UGGCUAAGGUGUCUUGGCUAAUGUAUCUUGGCUAAGGUGUCUUGGCUAAGGUGUCUUGGCUAAUGUGUCUUGGCUAAUGUGUCUUGGCUAAGGUGUCUUGGCUAAUGUGUCUUGGCUAAGGUGUCUUGGCUAAGGUGUCUUGGCUAAGGUGUCUGGGCUAAGGUGUCUUGGCUAAGGUGUCUUGGCUAAUGUGUCUUGGCUAAGGUGUCUUGGCUAAGGUGUCUUGGCUAAGGUGUCUUGGCUAAUGUGUCUUGGCUAAGGUGUCUUGGCUAAGGUGUCUUGGCUAAGGUGUCUUGGCUAAUGUGUCUUGGCUAAUGUGUCUUGGCUAAUGUGUCUUGGCUAAGGUGUCUUGGCUAAGGUGUCUUGGCUAAGGUGUCUUGGCUAAUAUGUCUUGGCUAAUGUGUCUUGGCUAAUGUGUCUUGGCUAAUGUGUCUUGGCUAAGGUGUCUUGGCUAAGGUGUCUUGGCUAAGGUGUCUUGGCUAAGGUGUCUUGGCUAAGGUGUCUUGGCUAAUGUGUCUUGGCUAAGGUGUCUGGGCUAAGGUGUCUUGGCUAAUAUGUCUUGGCUAAGGUGUCUUGGCUAAUGUGUCUUGGCUAAGGUGUCUUGGCUAAGGUGUCUGGGCUAAGGUGUCUUGGCUAAGGUGUCUUGGCUAAUGUGUCUUGGCUAAUGUGUCUUGGCUAAUGUGUCUUGGCUAAGGUGUCUUGGCUAAGGUGUCUUGGCUAAGGUGUCUUGGCUAAGGUGUCUUGGCUAAGGUGUCUUGGCUAAUGUGUCUUGGCUAAUGUGUCUUGGCUAAUGUGUCUUGGCUAAGGUGUCUUGGCUAAGGUGUCUUGGCUAAUGUGUCUUGGCUAAAGUGUCUUGGCUAAGGUGUCUUGGCUAAGGUGUCUUGACUAAGGUGUCUUGGCUAAGGUGUCUUGGCUAAUGUGUCUUGGCUAAUGUGUCUUGGCUAAGGUGUCUUGGCUAAGGUGUCUUGGCUAAGGUGUCUUGGCUAAGGUGUCUUGGCUAAGGUGUCUUGGCUAAUGUGUCUUGGCUAAGGUGUCUUGGCUAAUAUGUCUUGGCUAAGGUGUCUUGGCUAAUGUGUCUUGGCUAAGGUGUCUUGGCUAAGGUGUCUUGGCUAAGGUGUCUUGGCUAAGGUGUCUUGGCUAAUGUGUCUUGGCUAAUGUGUCUUGGCUAAUGUGUCUUGGCUAAGGUGUCUUGGCUAAGGUGUCUUGGCUAAUGUGUCUUGGCUAAAGUGUCUUGGCUUAGGUGUCUUGGCUAAUGUGUCUCGGCUAAGGUGUCUUGGCUAAGGUGUCUUGGCUAAUGUGUCUUGGCUAAGGUGUCUUGGCUAAUGUGUCUUGGCUAAGGUGUCUUGGCUAAGGUGUCUUGGCUAAGGUGUCUUGGCUAAGGUGUCUUGGCUAAGGUGUCUUGGCUAAGGUGUCUUGGCUAAUGUGUCUCGGCUAAUGUGUCUUGGCUAUUGUGUCUUGGCUAAUGUGUCUUGGCUAAUGUGUCUUGGCUAAGGUGUCUUGGCUAAGGUGUCUUGGCUAAGGUGUCUUGGCUAAGGUGUCUUGGCUAAGGUGUCUUGGCUAAUGUGUCUCGGCUAAAGUGUCUUGGCUAAGGUGUCUUGGCUAAGGUGUCUUGGCUAAGGUGUCUUGGCUAAGGUGUCUUGGCUAAUGUGUCUCGGCUAAGGUGUCUUGGCUAUUGUGUCUUGGCUAAGGUGUGUUGGCUAAGGUGUCUUGGCUAAGGUGUCUUGGCUAAUGUGUCUUGGCUAAUGUGUCUUGGCUAAGGUGUCUUGGCUAAGGUGUCUUGGCUAAGGUAUCUUGGCUAAGGUGUCUUGGCUAAGGUGUCUUGGCUAAUGUGUCUUGGCUAAUGUGUCUUGGCUAAUGUGUCUUGGCUAAGGUGUCUUGGCUAAGGUGUCUUGGCUAAGGUGUCUUGGCUAAUGUGUCUUGGCUAAUGUGUCUUGGCUAAUGUGUCUCGGCUAAGGUGUCUUGGUUAAGGUGUCUUGGCUAAGGUGUCUUGGCUAAGGUGUCCCCACUUGGCAGAAAUCGCAUGAGAGGGGGGAAAUUUCUUCAUUCUCGCUACCCCUGACCCUCACUUUCGAGCGAUCGUACGACAAACUCUCACUCCACCACCCUACCUCACUCACACACGCUCCUAUAUUCUAUGUAAACCCUCACCGCAACCUGCGUCACCAACCCACCCCACACCUGAACGGUCCCAUACUCGAAGUGUUAGACAAUUUUGGUUCCACACUUUGAAGCCUGUCGAGGAGUGUGGCACUAUAUUGUUUUUCGCUGUCUCCUUUCUUUCACUGCAAAAUUGCUUUUGCCCUGUCUUUGGCGUAUUCAUAUGAGUUUGGCCUUUGCUGGAGGCGGAGGUGUGUGCGCAAGCGUUAUCGUGUUUUGUGAAGUGAUUCUUUGCUCCGGUAAGUAAUGUGAAAACUAAUGAUUGUGAUUAGUGAAUUAAUUCUAAUCCAUGUGUUUUGUGCGUAGUGAAUCCCAUCGAGUCGAUCAGCUGAUGGAAAGAGUUUGGCCGUGAAGCGGAAAGGGUGCAGCCGGAGUUAAACCGCAGGAUGGCAGGACAAAUCACAUCGGAGAGAGUGCUGAAUAUUCGACGUCUUGAGAGAAACCUCUGCCGAACAUAGGCACCCCAUCCCACCGUCCGCUUCGCAGAACGCCGGCAGUUUUUUUUACCUGUUCUUCCAGCGACCGCUUGCGCAUGAUGAGCAGAGGUGCAAUAAAAAAAGGGAUCGUAUGUAUUUCCUGGUAAUUAUUUCGUUCACUGUCGUGGUGUGUUUGGGACGAGGGUGUCCCGAAUGCAGCAAUAGGAAAGAAAGGGAAAGCGAGAAAGAAAAAAAGCGAAGGAAAGAACGGGACAAAAUAAAGCUAAUUUUUUGGCUUCCAGGCUUAUUAUAAAUAAGCUUGGGAGCUUCCAUGCUUGCAAGCUUGCAUGCUCGUAUGCAAGCGUACAUACGCCCUGCCCCCUAUACUCGA